UUAAUUAAAUCCGGUUUUUUUUAAAAAAAAAAACAAAGAAACCAAAAUCCCUUCAUUUAUGGAAACCAUAAUAAGAAAGUAGUUGGUUUUUGAAGAUGGAAAACAUGUAAAAUUGAAAAAUAUAACUUAAAUUUCUCAAAAUCUUAGGACUAAAAUGUUUUUGAUCCAAGCUUAUCGAUGGAUCUGUGACAGGUAACUUGUUAUUCUUGCAGCCCUUCGCCCCCACAACCGAGCCUGUCCCUACAAAGACGAACAAUGGUGGAUGUAGGCAAGGGAUGACCUUCGAGAAUUACUGAAUCAGGUAAAAAACACGAGCAGAACUCAAAAAUUCCUUAUAGCCCGCUAAUGUGUGACUCUUGAUGAAGCUGAGAGUAUCAAAAAGCAGAACCAGAGCAUUCAGAAGUAAAAAAUAGGACAAAUAUCUACCCAGAAAAACAAGGAUACAAGAUAUGGGGAUAAGAGCGGGUCCUGCAUACCUUGAUAUCUUCAUGAGGAAUUCCCCUGGCUGGAGCAAUUAGAUCUUUGGUAGCCUGCAAAUUAAUGACAAGUAAAUCUAAAGCUAAGCCAAAUUAUCUUUGAUGUCUUGAAAUACAGGUGAUAAAUCGUGAUAGGUGAAGGGUGAUAAUUAAAAAGUGAAGAGCAAGACAGGUGCAGAAGGGAGAAGAAGAUAAAUCGUCUUUGGCUCUUUGCUCUUUGGUGUGGGCGGCGGCUUCAGU
rnacentral:lncRNA from 1 species